rnacentral:rRNA from 1 species
AGAUUGAACGCUGGCGGCAUGCCUAACACAUGCAAGUCGAACGGGAGUAGCAAUACUCUAGUGGCGGACGGGUGAGGAAUACGUAGGAAUUUGCCCUUAAGUGGGGGAUAACCCGGGGAAACCCGGAUUAAUACCGCAUGACCUCGAAAGAGCAAAGUGGGGGAUCGCAAGACCUCACGCUUUUGGAGAAGCCUACGUCGGAUUAGCUAGUUGGUGAGGUAAUGGCUCACCAAGGCGACGAUCCGUAACUGGUCUGAGAGGAUGAUCAGUCACACCGGAACUGAGACACGGUCCGGACUCCUACGGGAGCAGCAGUGGGAAUAUUGGACAAGUGGGCGCAAGCCUGAUCCAGCAAUGCCGCGUGUGUGAAGAAGGCCUUCGGUUGUAAAGCUACGUUUAAGGUUAGGGAAAGAAAAACUCGACUACGUAACACAGUGAGUCUUGACGGUACCGACAGAAUAAGACACCGGACUAACUCUAGU